rnacentral:rRNA from 1 species
GUCAGGUAGAGAAUACCAAGGCGCUUGAGAGAACUCGGGUGAAGGAACUAGGCAAAAUGGUGCCGUAACUUCGGGAGAAGGCACGCUGAUAUGUAGGUGAAGUCCCUGCGGACGGAGCUGAAAUCAGUCGAAGAUACCAGCUGGCUGCAACUGUUUAUUAAAAACACAGCACUGUGCAAACACGAAAGUGGACGUAUACGGUG